rnacentral:rRNA from 1 species
CCUACGGGAGGCAGCAGUGGGGAAUAUUGGACAAUGGGGGAAACCCUGAUCCAGCCAUGCCGCGUGUGUGAAGAAGGCCCUCGGGUUGUAAAGCACUUUCAGUGAGGAAGAACGCCUGGUGGUUAAUACCCAUCAGGAAAGACAUCACUCACAGAAGAAGCACCGGCUAACUCCGUGCCAGCAGCCGCGGUAAUACGGAGGGUGCGAGCGUUAAUCGGAAUUACUGGGCGUAAAGCGCGCGUAGGUGGCUUGAUAAGCCGGUUGUGAAAGCCCCGGGCUCAACCUGGGAACGGCAUCCGGAACUGUCAAGCUAGAGUGCAGGAGAGGAAGGUAGAAUUCCCGGUGUAGCGGUGAAAUGCGUAGAGAUCGGGAGGAAUACCAGUGGCGAAGGCGGCCUUCUGGACUGACACUGACACUGAGGUGCGAAAGCGUGGGUAGCAAACAGGAUUAGAUACCCCAGUAGUC